rnacentral:ncRNA from 1 species
GUGAUAGAGGAGCGAUGUCUAAGAUUAACUUUACUGAGGUAAGCACGAAGAGGUAAAGUGAAAGGAGCCACCGCCGAAGUAUAAAACUGAUGCUUUAAGGUUUUGUAGCUGGUUUUGCAUAGAAUAUGUGCAUAACUGUCGCAAAUUUUAAUUUGUGGAGAGCUAUCAU